UACAGAGGUCCCGAGCGUUGUUCGGAUUUAUUGGGCGUAAAGGGUGCGUAGGUGGCAAAGUAAGUUGGAUGUGAAAUCCUGGGGCUUAACCUCAGAAUUGCAUUCAAUACUGCUUAGCUAGAGAGCUGUAGAGGAGACUGGAAUUUACGGUGUAGCAGUGAAAUGCGUAGAUAUCAGGAGGAACACCGGUGGCGAAGGCGGGUCUCUGGGCCGGAACUGACGCUGAGGAGCGAAAGCGUGGGGAGCGAACAGG
rnacentral:rRNA from 1 species